CAGCAGCCGCGGGAAUACAGAGGGUGCAAGCGUUAAUUGGAAUUACUGGGCGUAAAGCGCGCGUAGGUGGUUUGUUAAGUUGGAUGUGAAAUCCCCGGGCUCAACCUGGGAACUGCAUCCAAAACUGGCAAGCUAGAGUAUGGUAGAGGGUGGUGGAAUUUCCUGUGUAGCGGUGAAAUGCGUAGAUAUAGGAAGGAACACCAGUGGCGAAGGCGACCACCUGGACUGAUACUGACACUGAGGUGCGAAAGCGUGGGGAGCAAACAGGAUUAGAUACCCCCGUAGUCCCUGUCUCUUAUAC
rnacentral:rRNA from 1 species